rnacentral:piRNA from 1 species
UNGCUUCAAAACAGAUCAGUUGCCAGUGGGU